AGUCGAGCGGAUGAGUGGAGCUUGCUCCAUGAUUCAGCGGCGGACGGUUGAGUAAUGCCUAGGAAUCUGCCUGGUAGUGGGGGACAACGUUUCGAAAGGAACGCUAAUACCGCAUACGUCCUACGGGAGAAAGCAGGGGACCUUCGGGCCUUGCGCUAUCAGAUGAGCCUAGGUCGGAUUAGCUAGUUGGUGAGGUAAAGGCUCACCAAGGCGACGAUCCGUAACUGGUCUGAGAGGAUGAUCAGUCACACUGGAACUGAGACACGGUCCAGACUCCUACGGGAGGCAGCAGUGGGGAAUAUUGGACAAUGGGCGAAAGCCUGAUCCAGCCAUGCCGYGUGUGUGAAGAAGGUCUUCGGAUUGUAAAGCACUUUAAGUUGGGAGGAAGGGCAGUAAGCUAAUACCUUGCUGUUUUGACGUUACCGACAGAAUAAGCACCGGCUAACUUCGUGCCAGCAGCCGCGGGUAAUACGAAGGGUGCAAGCGUUAAUCGGAAUUACUGGGCGUAAAGCGCGCGUAGGUGGUUCAGCAAGUUGGAUGUGAAAGCCCCGGGCUCAACCUGGGAACUGCAUCCAAAACUA
rnacentral:rRNA from 1 species